rnacentral:rRNA from 1 species
GGAUCCGAUCAUACCAGUAUUAACGCACAAGAUCCCAUUAAAAAUCCGCAGUUAAGUGUGUUUGGGCGAGAGUAGUACCCUUGGAAAUCCUUGGGUUGCGUCCC